UACCAACUGAGCUACAUCCCCACCUC
rnacentral:piRNA from 1 species